GGCAAUGUUUCUACAGCUGGAUGCCCUUCCUAACGCCAACCACUCCAGGAGUGUAGUGGGUGCUUUUACAUGCCACCGGAACAGGGACCAGUCAGACGGUUCUGCCAACAACCAUGCUCAAAAGGUGUUUUUUAUGUGCUACCUGCACAGGAGCCAGUCCAGUGGCACUGGC